GAUGAACGCUGGCGGCGUGCUUAACACAUGCAAGUCGAACGGAAAGGCUCCUGCUUGCAGGGGUACUCGAGUGGCGAACGGGUGAGUAACACGUGGGUGAUCUGCCCUGCACUUCGGGAUAAGCCUGGGAAACUGGGUCUAAUACCGGAUAGGACGAUGGUUUGGAUGCCAUUGUGGAAAGUUUUUCGGUGUGGGAUGAGCUCGCGGCCUAUCAGCUUGUUGGUGGGGUAAUGGCCUACCAAGGCGUCGACGGGUAGCCGGCCUGAGAGGGUGUACGGCCACAUUGGGACUGAGAUACGGCCCAGACUCCUACGGGAGGCAGCAGUGGGGAAUAUUGCACAAUGGGCGCAAGCCUGAUGCAGCGACGCCGCGUGGGGGAUGACGGCCUUCGGGUUGUAAACUCCUUUCGCUAGGGACGAAGCGCAAGUGGCGGUACCUGGAGAAGAAGCACCGGCUAACUACGU
rnacentral:rRNA from 1 species